AAAACCAGACUCAGAGGAAAACUCUGCAGAUCCAGACUCAGAGGAGACUUUCUGUUGUUGUCUUUGGGGGUUAGAGGAUAGAAAGAGAGACGAGGAUAGGAC